rnacentral:rRNA from 1 species
AAGGGACAGCAGUCGCCACGGGAAUACAGAGGGUGCGAGCGUUAAUCGGAUUUACUGGGCGUAAAGCGUGCGUAGGCGGCUUCUUAAGUCGGAUGUGAAAUCCCUGAGCUUAACUUAGGAAUUGCAUUCGAUACUGGGAAGCUAGAGUAUGGGAGAGGAUGGUAGAAUUCCAGGUGUAGCGGUGAAAUGCGUAGAGAUCUGGAGGAAUACCGAUGGCGAAGGCAGCCAUCUGGCCUAAUACUGACGCUGAGGUACGAAAGCAUGGGGAGCAAACAGGAUUAGAUACCCCUGUAGUCCCUGUCUCUUAUAC